rfam:Schistosoma mattheei strain Denwood, Zambia genome assembly, scaffold: SMTD_scaffold0000008
AUCCAGCUGACGAGUCCCAAAUACCACGAAACGUACGUCCUGGAU